CUUGGCACCUAGCAAGCACUCAGUAAAUAUUUGUUGAGUGCCUGCUAUGUGCCAGGCA
rnacentral:pre_miRNA from 1 species